GACGAACUGUCCUAACGUUGUUCGGAAUCACUGGGCUUAAAGGGCGCGUAGGCGGUCCAUCAAGUCAGGGGUGAAAUCCUGCAGCUCAACUGCAGAAGUGCCUCUGAUACUGGUGGUCUGGAGGGAGAUAGGGGUGUGUGGAACUCACAGUGGAGCGGUGAAAUGCGUUGAUAUUGUGAGGAACGCCGGAGGCGAAAGCGACGCACUGGAUCUCUUCUGACGCUGAGGCGCGAAAGCUAGGGGAGCAAACGGG
rnacentral:rRNA from 1 species